rnacentral:rRNA from 1 species
CAUGUCCUUUAGAUUAUUAUUUAAGGUCUAAUCUGCUCAGUGAUAUUUAAAUAGCCGCAGUAUAUUAACUGUGCAAAGGUAGCAUAAUAAUUAGUUUCUUAAUUAGGAACUAGCAUGAAUGAUUGGACGAGAAAAUUACUGUUUCUAAUUAAUUGUUUAUUGAAUUUUAUUUUUAAGUUAAAAGGCUUAAAUUUUUUUAAAAGACGAGAAGACCCUAUAGAGUUUUAUAUUUUGUGUUAAAUUAAUGUUAGAAUUUUAUUUUAGUAUAAAUUAUUUAGUUGGGGUGAUUUAAAGAUUUGCCGAAUUCUUUAAUUUUUUAGUUAAUGAUUUUUAAUUUUUCUAGGUACUUUGUUAAAUUUAAAUUAAAUUACCUUAGGGAUAACAGCGUAAUUUUUCUUAAAAGUUCUUAUUAAAAGGAAAUUUUGCGACCUCGAUGUUGGAUUAAAAUUUAUUUUAGGUGAAGUAGCUUAAAAAUUAGGUCUGUUCGACCUUUAAAAUUUUACAUGAUCUGAGUUUAGACCGGCGUGAGCCAGGUUAGAUUCUAUCUUUAAAUUUAUUUUUUAUUUUAGUACGAAAGGACCAGGUAAAAGUUAUAUGUUA